GAGCUUUUUAAGGUGAAACUGGAUGUGGCACUUAAUGCCCUGGUCUAGUAACCACCAUUGUGUUGGAUCAAGGGUUGGAUUUGAUGAUCUCAGAGGUCUUUUCCAAUCUGGCUGACUCUAUGAUUUUA